UUUAAAAUUUAUGACUCUACUAAAACCCAAUUCUUGUCACAGAACAAAAACAUUAAAAUAAAAAAUAUAUUAAUUAAUUAUACUCAAAUAGUACUUUAUUAUAUAGAGAGAGAGUUGAGCUGAAAUACUAUUAAUAGUAUUUGGCAUCUUUUGUCUUCUUUUAGAUCAUACUAUUCAACCAAUCACCCACUCAACCCUAAGGGUUCACCAUCAUUUUAAUUCUAUAAUUUUUUAUCUUAGGGUUAAAAACUCGAUAAUAAAAAAGCUCAAAUAUUAUUAACAGUAAUCCAACCCAAUUCUAUAUAUAUAUAUAUAUAUAUAUAAAGAGAGAGAGAGAGAGCAGGAUUAUUAUGGUAUUAGGAGUACAGCAGUGCUUAUGCUUCUAACUUCGUAACUAUUCAUCAAUUUUGAUGAAUGGUUAGAGUGAGAGAGAAAAAAAAAAUUAAAAAGAAAUUCAAAAAAAGAAAAAUUGAGACACAUAAUUUCAUCUCAAUUUUUUUUCUCUCUCAUCCUAAUCAUCCAUCAAAAUUGAUGAAUGGUUAGGAAGUUAGAAGUAUAAGGACUGAUAUACUCUUAAUAUCAUAGUAGGCCUGCUCUAUAUAAUAAUAAUAAUAAUAAUAAUAAUAAUAAUCAACCGUUCAUAGCGCAAGUGACAAAGGGUUUGAUGGUUGGUAUCUGAGGUCCUAAGUUCGAAUCCUAAUUAAUUCAUAUUUCUAGCUUAAAUUUAUUUCUAAUUUUUAAAUGAAAUAAACGAAUCAGAUAAUACGCUAUUUAUCUCUCAAAAAAUAAUAAUAAUAUAAGUGUAUUUUAUUGAGCAAAGUGUGCUAUGACAAUUUGGUUCAUAAAGUUUAAAUUAGAAUUGGAAUAUAUAAAUACAAUCUUUAGGGUGCGAUUUUGGAAUGGAAGUUAGAAUGGAUUGGACGGAUCGCAUGUCAUUAUCGCUUGCGCGUGCGCCGUAAUCUCCCACUUCCUUUCCCCAUGCUCUGCUUUCGUGUAAGGUUGAGUUACUCUCUGCAUGAUCCAAAAAACUUAUUUGACUUCUGAAUUAUGUUUUUUUUUUUUUUUUUUUUGAGAGAGAUAGAUAGUAGGCAUGCAAACGGGGCGGAUCCGGGGGCGGGAGAGUUCCCCCACCUCCCGCUCUAUUUCUUAUCGGGGCGGGGCGGGGCUGAUUCGGGGCGGAUUACUUUUCAUUUUAUUUUUGGCUCCCACUUACCGCUCCAUUCGGUGUGGAUCGGGACGGGAGCCGGAUUUUUGACGAAUCGGGACGGAUUGAAGGAAGAAAAGAGUCUCCCACCUCCCGCUUCAUUUACUUGGCGGAUCGGGGCGGAUUCGGGGCGGGUUAUAUUUUUUUAUAUUUUUUGUUCCCACUUACCACCCCAUUCGGGGCGGAUCGGGGCGGAGCUCCACCAACCCGGAUCCAUUUGCAUCCCUAAUAGAUAGGCGGCACGCUACCCACUUUGUUUAUUUUAUUUAAAAAUAAACUUAGCUGGAAAUGUGAAUAAACUAGGAUUCAAACUUAGGAUCUCGGGUAUCAACCACUAAGCUUUUUGCCACUUGCUCUAAGGACGGUCGGUUGAAUUAUAUUAAUUUGACUAUUCAAUUCGUUAAAAAUUUAAUUGUACUAUCCAACUAUUCAAUUUAUUUAAUUUGAGUCAGUCAAUUUAAAUUAAUUACUUAUUUUUAUCAAUUUAUAGUUGCGAGAAUUACAUAAAAUAUAUUAAUUAAACCUAUAAACACAAAUAACAUAUUCAAAUUUUGAAGGUAAAGUUUCGUUAACUAAUUCAAAUCAAACAAAUUGAAUAAUUGGGUAGUAAAAUCGACAUCUUUAAAGGUUGGAAAGCCAAAUCAAAUUAAUCCAUAGUUUAGAUAAAUUUUGUAUAUUUUUAAUAUUAUUAUAAUAAAGGUAUGUUUUUGCACAAUUAAAAGGACUCAAAUGAGUAGAGUAUAUAUACACUAUAAAGAGAGUUUUGGUAAUUUCAGAAUAGCCAAUAGUUAAGGGAUCUCCAUACAAUUUUACUGUUUGUCUCCACCAACGGUUCUUUUUGGAUGGGGGUGGGCCUCUAACAUGAAGGCCCAUAUGUGUUAAUAAUGGAUCCGUCAAAGGAAAUGGACCCAAAUUAAAUAGGAUUCUCACGCCACCAACGCUUCCACGUUUAAAUCGCGAUCCCGUACUCCUCCUCGAAACACUACAAACUCCUCCCAAUUGCCGCGAAUGGCGUCCUCCGCCACCGCCAGUAAGCUCACCGCCCCGCCCCCGUCAAUAUGCCCCCCCUCCUCCUCCUCGCGUCUCCCCACUCGGUUCCGGUCACUGCCGUUUCCGGUCACCGUCCCACCGCUCACCUCCGCUACCCCCCUCGCCUCCCCCAGCCAAACCCUAAACCUAACCCGCGUCGCCUCCCUCCGCCAUUAAAAUGCGCUGCUCUGCCUUCGGCGACCUCUCCGCACCCACCCCGAAACCCUAAUCCCUCGCUGGUCGAUGGGUUCCUCCUCGUCGUCUCCUUCCUCGGAAUCCUGCCCCGCGAUUCCCCUGAGCGAUGGAGGCGCCUUUUGGCUAUCUCGGAGGAGGCGGAGUCGAGGCUCGCGGGGAUCCCGCCGCAUCUGAUCCACGCCAUUACGAGCUCCGAGGAUCGCCGCUUCUUUUUCCACCCGGGGGUCGAUUGCCACGGCAUCUCGCGGGCUAUUGUGAAGUACCCCAAUGGCGGUGGUGGGAGCACCAUUACGCAGCAGGUAUACUAUUCGGCUUUGAUAUUUUUGAGGUGGUUCGGUUUCUCUCCGAUCGGGGCAAUAUUUUUUUUUAAUAUGAUUGUUGUGGAGUAUCAGGAAUUGAUCCUUGUCAAUUGUGAACGGUAUGGAAAAUGCCAGAUAUUUAGAUUGUUUGCAAACAUUUAGAUCGAUAAGCUUGAUUAUGCUUAAUUGGUCAUCGGAACAAUCAGAAAAACUAUGCUAUAAUUCAGUAAAAGGCAUUGAAUCGCUUGAACAAUUGCAAACAAGCUUUUGAACAAUUCCUUAUAUGUGGUUCAUAUUUGUUCAGAUAAUCUUUUUGCAAAAUCAGGUUCAUUUUAUUAUCAUUGACACUAAAUUUCAUGAGAAAUUGGCAAUUAUCCUGCAUUUACUGUACAUCUAUAGCAAUCAGUGGUGCCAGGAACGCAUUUUCUUGGGUGACAAUAUUGAUCAAUUUUCUGUUCUGCUUGCAUUAUCUGUCUGAAUCACUUGCUCUUUAACAAGCUAUUAUGAAACUCUAACACCUAAUUGCCAUUUUCUCUUUUCAGGUGAAUAAUGGUUUAGAUAAAUAACUAUAUCUAGUUCUGCGCACUUAUUUUCUUUUUCUCCAUAUGGCAGCUAAUGAAGAGAAUCUUUCUGACAAGUGAACGGAAAAUAUCAAGAAAAUUCAUAGAGGGGUUAUUGUCACUGCUGAUCGAGAAGAGAAUGUCUAAAACGAAAAUAUUCUAUUCGUACUUGAGCACGGUAAUAGCACUUAUCUUUUCCAGCAAUUUCUCUGAGAUUAUGUCUCUUGUUUUAGGUCACUUCUUAAACACAAUAAUAGAUUAUUUAUUUUUGAGAACUCUCACCCUGAUAGAUUGCAGAAUUUAUGUGCUCAAAUCCUCCAAAUAUCAAAGGAAAUACCUGAACUUUUGAAUUUCAAUUGUCUUGCUAGCGUGUAAAUGGAUAUGGCUAGGAGAGCAGAUAAAUUUAGCUUGAAUGUUUUCUACUUUGAUUCAAGAAAUGCCAUGAUUAAUGUCUUUUAUUUGUGGAACCAUCUUUGAUUUGGUUUAUUUUCUAAACAGAUGUACUGGGGACAUGGAAUGUUUGGAAUUGAAUCAGCAUCUUCCUUCUACUUUCAGAAGCAACCUAUCUUUCUCACUGUGGGAGAGUCAGCUUUGCUGGCCGGAAUAUUACCUGCUCCUGAGAUUCUAAAUCCUUUUACGGACCCUAGAAGGUUGUUUAGAUUAAUAUUUUGCAGCUGCUAUUGUGACUAUCCCUUACAUAUCUUUUUAUUACUUUUCAGUCAAAGGAACGUGUGAUUUAUUACAUCAAGAUAUAGCCCACUUACAUAGUUAAGCGAUAUUUUGGCUUUUUUUUUCCCCUGAAAAGUAACAUUUUUUUUCACUUUGUUAAAGAGGCAAGUCCUCCCAGCAACGGGUACUCAGAAGGAUGGUAGCAGAAGGGUUUCUUGACAUGGAGACAGCACUUAAGGUCGCAAAACAACCUCUUCGUUUGCAUAAGGAAAACAAGGUAAUGUGUUAACAUGUUCCAGAAAAGCAUAUAUGAAGCCUGAUUUCUUUUUAUUUUCGGAACACACAUCGUUUCAACUCAUGCUACUCUUUAACUGAUUGUAUCAAUCAGGAAGUUUUAGUAUGAGGAAUUAAAGGGACAGUCGGUUUGAGGACCAUUUACCCUUGUCAUCUUUCAUGCAUGAGCUUUCAGUCUGUUGGAAGAACUAUCAUUUAAUAAGAAGGUAUUAUACUGGAAGUCUCAAUUUUCUUCUGGAACUCUCGGUUUUCCUUCGCAUGGUCAUCUAUUUAUUUAGUCCUCUAUCAUCAAAACUUGUAGUCAAAAAUUAUUUCUUAUGAUUUGUUACUCUUAUGGUGUAUGAGCUGUAUGGGUGUGUGAAUAUCUUGUUCAGUAUAUCUCUUUUGUUUAGUCGAGGGGUAUAUGGUAAUUGGCUGAUGGGGAAUAUAGGAAGAUAUAUCUCUUUUGUUUAGUCGAUGGGUAUAUGAUAAUUGGCUGAUGGGGAAUAUAGAAAGAUGUUUGUGAAAAUAUGUUUGCAACCAUAUAUUCUAUGUGGCUUGUAAAAUCAUUUUUAUCAAAAUAUGGUGAAUUGCCUUGUAGCACAAUUAUGAAAAGUAAUGAUUAUUGGAACUUGCAAAUUACAGUGAGUUGACACAAAACUCCUAGUUGUAAUUACAAAAGACUGUUCGCAUUCUGCACAUAUUAUCAAUGACAACUUGUUCUUAUGUUGAAUCAGGCCUUUAGUAAGUUAUUUCUCUAGGCGGAUGAUUGGGUACAAAGAUAUUCCGAGUAGCUUACUUUAGACUAAGGAUUGCCAUGCCAAUCGCAUGGGGCAUGCCGUUGUGCCUUCGGCAUGGCAUGGCAUGGCACAAAGGCACGCCCUGUGCUAAUGUCGGCAUGGAGGCUCUAGGUGGAUGAUUGGGUACAAACAUAUUCCAAGUAGCUUACUUUAGACUAAGGAUUGCCAUGCCAAUAGCAUGGGGCAUGCCAUUGUGCCUUCGGCAUGGCAUGGCACAAAGGCACACCCUGUGCUAAUGUCGGCACGGGCCUCCAUGCCAGUGAAACGCAACUGGCACCCUAACAUGGAUUGCCACAUUAUUUUAUUAGUUUUUAUGAAAAAAUAGUUUCUCGGAUUACGUUAUUAGUUUUUUAUGAAAAAAUAGUUUCGUAGAGUGUGUUUUAAUAUCUCUAAUGCCUUUAAAAAUGAUUUAGUUUUAAUAUUUCACAAAGUUUAGUAAGAAUAGAAUCACAGACAUCUUGAUAACUCAAGAAUGUCAUAUUAACAUAUUUUCUUAACAUAUUGUAAAAGUGCAUUCAGGAACAAGAAAUUGCAGUCAUAAUUGGAUAAAGAAUUAGAGGAAAACACUACAAUGGAUAAACUCGCUAGAUCAUUAUAACUCGGUCUAAUUAUUUAAUUGGAACGCACUAUUUGCUCAAAAAGUUGGUAGAUCUACAAGAUAUAAAUGUUCUUAAGUUGAGAAAAACUAUUUUAUAGUUUUUUAAUCUCAAAAUAGCUCAAAAAGAAAAUUGAAGAAAAGGACAUUUUUGAUACUGUUUGGCAUGCCCUCGCCGCAUGUCGGCAUGGUACGGCAUGGGCGGAACAGGGUGACACGGGCAAUCCUUGCUUUAGACAAAUGGGUAUAGAGAAAAUGUUUGCUCCAUUUUAUCUGUAAUCAUAUCAAACAGGAAGCAGAGUAUGAGAGACUAAUGCUUUCUUACACUGUGCUGUGAUAUAUGGAGAACAUGUUGGAGUCUGUAAUCAUACCUAAACAUUUCAACCUUAUCAUUGUAUGAACAUUCACAAGCUAACUAAAUCAUUUGGUUUUUUAUCUCUUCAAGUGUGGGGAAAAAAAAAAAAUCAAAACAUCCUAAAUAUUCAUCUUGAACUCUCUACUGCCUGGGUAAAACUCUUUUGGCGUCAAACAAAGUAUCUAAGCCCUUUUUUUGAUUUAUGUAAACUUUUCUUUAUCUAUUAGACUGUAAGCUCUUUUGUUUUUCUCCUUUUGUGAUUAGAUGCUUUGCCUCAGUGCAGAUAGACAUAGCUUUUCUUGUCAUUGUCGGUUAUCUCGCAAUUCGCCUGACCGGGCAUAGAAGGGCAUCUUCUUCAAAAACAAAAAGAAACAAAAUAUAUAUAUAUAUAUAUAUAUAUAUAUAUAGAGUAGGGCUACUGUGCUAUUAGGAGCACAGCAACCCUUGUGCUCCUAAGUUCUUAAGCUCCGCCCAUCAAAUUUGCAUGGGUGUUUAGAUGAAAGGGAAAAGUAAUUGGAGAGAAUUGAAUUUCUCAAUUUCUCUCUUUGAAUUCUCUUCAAUAUCUCUUCUUUUAUUCACCCUAACCACCCAUACAAUUUGAUGGGCGGUUAUAACAGUCUUAGGACAACAAGGCUUGCUUGUGGGCUCCUAAUAGCACAAUACCCUACUCUAUAUAAUAUAUAUAAUAUAUAUAUAUAUAAAACUAGAUAUGUUACUACUAUAACUUAGUAGAUGUAUAGAGUGCACAGAAUUCGUCAUCCACGAGCACAUUCCAUUGUAUAGAAAUUGUAUUUGAAGAAAACAGAAAGAAAAGGACAUCGAUACAUCGAUACAACACCUGGUCAAAGUUUUUUUUUUUUUCUUUUGUUUUCCCAUUUGUUUUUGGCCAAACUUCCAUGUUAGAUAUACCAUCUUCUACUGGUAAGUUUCAAUAUUUCUUUCUGAAUUACUGAAUUUUUUUUUUUAGCAGUUAUGUUUCGCUGUCGUCGACCCACCAACCACCAGGUCAUUUUUUGACGCACCUCGGCCACUCGAUCCGAAGCAUCUACAAGGGGUUAGUUGCCUUUAACAUUAAAGAUGCUACUAGUGAACUAGCUGUACCAGGCAAAGUCAUAUGCUCCAGAAUAAAACAUUGGUUGUAGCUGCCCAGCGCCAUUGAUGAUGUACUUGAAUGUAACCACUCAUCAGCUGUUUUCUAUUUAAUCUUUGCAGGGGAGUACUUUGAAUGAAACCACUCGCGCUGCUUGUUGUAUUUGUAAUCUUUGGUGAUAACUGUAGCCUUGGAUGCUUCACUUUAACUUGAUAUAAACUACGAUGAAUACCUUUUUUUGGGUCCAAAGUACAAAUGAGAUGGAUGUUUGUUGUCCCAACCAUUCUUGUUAGUCCCGUUGAUGUUGCGUGUUUGUUGUGGCAUGAAGUUAUGUAUGGAGCAACAAUAAGAUUGUGUGUUAGGUUGUAUUUUCAGGUUCCAUCACAGAAUGUUUCUUUCUUUUUUUUUUUCUUUUUUUUUUUCUCUAAGGGCUGUUGGGCUUCUAGGAAAAGAAUGGAAAGUUUUCAGGAAAAAUCUCCUUUUAGUUUUCCGCCUAUUUGGUUUAAAAAAAAAAAAAAGCUUUUUUUUAUUUUUUUUUUCAAUUUAUAUGGAAAACUAAUAUUUUCUGUUUUACGAAAAAACUGAAGAACAAAAACAAUAGUUUUCCAAAUAAUUUGAAAAAAAAAUAAAAAAAUCUAUUUUUUUUAAUCAAAUAAGUAGAAAAAUUAAAAAUAAAGAUUUUCAUAUAUCAAAUUUUUCUAGAAAAUUUGUUUCUAGGCUUUUCCUACGAAUCAAACAGCUCCAAAUGUCCACUGAGCUACGUGCUGCGCACCCAACGGAAUCAAAUCUACAACCUUUCCUUUUCAGGAAUGAUGCCUUAUUAAUUGGACUACUGGUGUUUUUAUGUGUUGUUCGGAUGGCGGUUGUUAACGUAAUUUUAUUUUAUAACAAAAAAAAAAAUUAUAAUCGUUUUAAAAUUUUUAGAUAUCUUUAGUCAUCACAUUACCAAACUAGAUCUUAAUAGGACAAAGAAUGUGGUAUCAUGAGCUAGACCAACAUGUCUAUAGUACUAAAGCCCAAAAAUAGUGUUAUGUUUUGGGUUGUAAUUGCAACCCCUCUCUCUCUCUCUCUCUCUCUCUCUCUCUCUUUUGAGUGCAUGUUAGGUAGUACCUAACCAAGCAGCUUCAUUGUGUUAUGUUUUGGGUUGUAAUUGCAACCCCUCUCUCUCUCUCUCUCUCUCUCUCUCUCUCUCUCUCUUUUGAAUGCAUGUUAGGUAGUACCUAACCAAGCAGCUUCAUUGAAAAAAGAGUGAAUAACUCGCAUAAAAUUUAAAGAGGGGAAGAGUACAUGGUUACAUGAAAGGUUUAUAUAUAUUCAAGUUACAUAUUAGGAUAUAUAAGCGUGGAGCAUAGUUUAAGAGACAAUGCAUCAUAGGAAACUUCGUUUAGCUGUGAAUUUUGUAACAUGUUGUACUAAUAUUUUACUCCUCCCUUGCUUGUAGAGACGAUACUUUAAUUUUGUUGUUGCGAUAUUUUACUUGAAAAUUGAAUUUUUAUUGUCGGGGCUUACAUGAAAGCAUUUAUAUAUUCUAACACCCACAACAUUAAUAUAAAUGUUUAGUUGGAAUUGUAAUAAAUUGUUUUCCUCUAACUUGGUCCAGUUUGGCACUUUGAAUGUGGGCACCUGUAUAUUCAAGAAAAAUUCCACUAAUGAAAAGCUCAAGAUUGUUAAUCACGUGAUGCACGAACGGCCAGAUAGCGUUUUGAAAUUCUCUUUUAAAAAAAAUUGGAAUUUGAAUUUGAAAUGUAAAUCUUUCCCCCCUGCGGGGAACAAUAGAGAGAUUGUAUUACGAAAUUAUAUAGAAAGGAAAGCUAGAAUAGCUUUAGAAAUAAAUACAAUUGUUUACUUUUAUGUUACUUUUGAUGAUGGACAUCUGAAUCGACAGUCGGCACCAUUAAAUUUGAUUUGGGCUGUUUAAACUCUCUAGAUAAUCGAAUUUUACAAUUGUUAAUUUGAUAUUAUUUAUCUUGUAAUUGAGUCUAUUGAUAAUUUUAAUAGCUAAUAUAAGGUGAAUUUGCUAUCAUAUGGUUAUCUGGUAAAUGAUCAUAUGAUCACGUGGUAAAUGAUCUCGUGAAAAUUGUACUUAACAAUAUCAAUUGGCGAUUCAGAAGCCAUAUUACUAAAAACAACACAAAAGUAAGCAAUCUUAUUUAUUUAAAAGUAUUUUAGUAUUACAUGUAGUAAGCAAAUAGUAAACCAGUGUAGCAAGGUACCGAGUGUUAAAAGUUCACAUGUAAAUCGUCUUACAUUAGAUAUUUAAUAAGAAAGUAAAAAGUUGACAUAUAUACUAGUGGCCUCUAACUUAAUAGGUUUAGGUUUUAUAUUUGAUUGUGUUUCUUUAGAUAUAUCACACAUUUGGGGUUCAUCUCGAUUUGAACUAGGUCCGGAACUUUCUAACAAAUGAUAUCGGAGCUAAGGACUAGAUAAUUUUGAAAUACUCAUCUAAGUGGUGUGAUAUGAUUGAAUUAGUGCUCCUACGAACAUACAGGUACGUUGAAAAUAGUCAUCAUAAUGGUUUGAUGCACUAAAAAGAAUUGAACCCGAGUGGUGUGAUACGAUUGAUCAAUUAGUGCUCCUACGAACAUAACAGGUUCGUUGAGAGAAGUCAUCGUAAUGAUUUGAUGCACUCAAAGAAUUGGGCCCGAGAGGCGCACGUUAAGCGCACGAGCUUAGAUGGUUUAGAGCAUUCAGAAUAGUCGGUCACUUGGAUGAGUUCCUGAGUGGCUUUGCCCGAAAGGCACACAUAGUGAGCGCAUGAGCUCACAUGAUUUAGAGCAAUCAAAACAGUCAGGCCCGAGAAGCAUAAGUUUAGUGUAUACGCUUGGACGAGUUCCUAAAUGGUAUAGAUUACUGAGUAAAUUUGCGGUGACUUAUAAAAAGAACUUAGAAAGAAUGUCUCAAAAAAAAGAGCCAAAAAGAUGACUCAGUGAAAUAUUUCGAGAGUAUAAUAGAUUGAGUUUUUUGAGAGAUAGGUAGUAUGCUAUACCCGCUUCGUUUAUUUCAUUUAGAAAUAAAUUUAGCUAGAAAUGGAAAUCAGUUAGGAUUCGAACUUUGGACCUCGGAUAUCAACCAUCAAAUACUUUGCCACUUGCGCUAGUAACGGUCGGUAGUAUAAUAGAUUGAGUUGAUGCGGGUGUCGGUUGGUUUACAUACAAGGUAGUUUACAUGUGUAGAGGGGAGAAGUUUAAGAGUUUACACAUGAAUUGCCCCGGAUCGGAUAAUUAACAAAAGAGCAAAUGGUUGAUACAUAUUAGUGUUUGCAAAUCUAAUAGGGUUUUAGGUUGAAUAUAUUUUAUUAGAUAUAUCACAUUGUUGUACUGAUGUCGACAUGGGCUGAAGCCAUAACUCUUUGCGGGAAUGUUAUUUUUAAGUUAAAAAAAGAUAAAUUAAAAAAAUAUAUAUAUUUUAGAAAAAUAGAAAAAUAGAAAAUCCUUGUUGUGCAGCACAAUAUAUAUAUAUAUAUUUUUAGAAAGAAACUUACAUUGGAGUACAUGUUACUAUAAAUUACUUAUAUUUAUUUUCGUAACAUGUAUUAUUUUAUUUGAGCCUUUUGAUGUAUUUUGAUUAUACUUAAUUGAUUUCACAGAUUUUUUUUUCCUUCAAAAAAAAUUACACUAUAUUUAAAAAAUUAAAUUUUCAUAUUUCUCUUAAAUAAUUAAUAAAAGUUAUCUUGUAGUAACAUGUAGAGUUCGGCUAUUCUGCUAUCGAUAGCACCAAGCGCUUGAUGCUAUCAAGUUUUUCGCUGUUAGAUUUACUUCAGACCACUUUCACCUGUUAGAUCAUACUAUUCAACCAAUCACUUACUUAAUCCUAAAGAACUACUAUUAUCCUUACCGCGCAUUUCUUCAUCCAAUUAAGAACCGAAAAUCUAAUGGCACCAAUGAUUUGAUACUGUUAAUAGUAUAAUAGCCUAGUUUGUAACUUGUGCUUCAAUAUAAAUUUUUUGAAAAAAAAAUGGCGGGUUCUGCUCCAAAGCAAGAAAGAUAAUAUUCGAUUUUUUAAAAAAUUAUUUUCUUCUACUUUUAUAUUUUUUUUACUUUUUAUUAUAAAAAUAUAAUAAAAAAGAAUUAUUUAAGAUAUUCAUGCAGGCGCCCACAUGGCGCCUAGUGGUGAUUACUGGAGAAAAUUUUAAAACACACCGGUUAUAACGGUGACAUGACAUUCCCAACUAAUUAAAUAGAUCCUUUUGGUUUAAUCUGUCGUAUCAUAAUUAUAAAAAAAUAUUUUUUAAUUUUUUUUAAAAAUAUAAUUAAUUUAUUAUUAUUGAUACGGUACAAGUGUGAUAUAAUAAAUUUCUGGGCUCUAACAAAGUUUUGUACUUAGAGAUCGAAGCAUGCAUGGUAUAUAGUAUUACAAUUUUGCAAACCAACACCCUACUGUUUUGGUCCGUUGAUUUUAGGGUUCUAGAAGAACACGUGUGGUCUUUGUGGCAAACCUAACACUCCCCGCACCACCCCCACGGCCCCACCCCUGUUUUUUUUAAGAAAAACCUACCCAUAUUUGAUUUUUCUUUUUGAGCUAAACAUAAUUUGGGUUUUGAAUCUCUUAUAUGCAUGAGUGUAAGACCAUGGACUUUUGUUAAAACAAAAAAAGUUAGAUAAAAUGUUUAAUUUGAAGAUGUAGCUUUCAAUUUACUAUCAAAUUUAUUGUUGUGAUAAAUAUUGGAAUAUACUUUUGUAUUUUCACCAGAGUCAUUAUAUAAUUUUUUUUUUGGAAGUAGCGUGUAUUGAAAAGAUAAAAUUUAUUUUUCUAGAAAAAAAAUUCAUAAAAAGUAUAUUUUUCAUAGUUUUUGUUUUUUAGAUAAUAGAUUAAGAAAACAAAAAGAAGACACUUUCAUAAGAUUAAAAAAAAUUAAAAAUAUAUAUAUUUUUUGAGAACCACACAGAGUAAAAAUAUUUUUGUAGUUAAAAAUUAUUUUUUGAGAUUUUUUGGAGAACCAAACACUUUUCUUUUUAAGAGAUAGGUAGCACGCUAUUUGCUUCACUUAUUUGAUUUAGAAAUAAAUUUAACAAGAAAUGUGAAUCAACUAGAAUUCGAACUUGGGUCUCGGAUAUCAACGACCAAGCCUUUUGCCAUUUGCUCUAGGGACAGUCAGUAUCCAAACACCUUUUUAAGCUCAAAAAAGUGUAGAAAAUUCCUCAACUGAGCUAGUAGCUGGGUGCAACUUUUAUUUUUUGAAAUGUAGAAAAAAAAACCUCCAUCCAAAAUUAAAUUUUUUUAAAACAAAAUGGAAAUAUUUAUUUUAAAAAGAAAGUCACCUCGAAUAGGAGGGGUUAAUGAUCACUAGUCAAAUCCAAGCGUUAGUGGAUAGCAGUAGAUUUUUUUUUUUUUUUUCAAUUUGAGAGAAAGAUUGUACGUUAUUUAUUUUGUUUUGUUUUUAAAAAUAAAUUUAAGUAUUAAAAUAAAGUAAUUAAAUUUUGAAUUUAAAUUUUUGGAUAUUAACAGUUAAAUUUUUUGUCACGUGUGCUAAGCAAAGAUAUAUUUAUUGAGACGACAUCUCAACCGUUUAUUUUCGGACCCUCUAAAUCAACCAAUUUUUAUCCGUACUUUGAUGCCUUAGUCAUUUUUUCUAUACAUGGACCAGAACCAAGCAUAUGAUGCACCAGAAGUGGCCUAAAUAUUAUUUAUUCCCCCACCCCCCAAAAAACCAAAAAAAAGAAACUAAAUUACUUUUUUUUAUUGUAUCUUGUUAUAAUUUUGAACUCAAAUUUUUUAUAUUACCAUCAUUAAGUCCUACAGUGUAAUUUAUUAGCUGAAUAAUAAUAUGUCACUAAUAUGAUAGUCUUGUGGUAUUCUAAUUAUUCACGACUCACCAACCAUAAUAUUGCUAUAUUACUGUCAAAUAUAGAAAUAAUAUAAUAUUAUCUAGUCAAAUAUAUUAUAUUGUCGGACUUAGUUAUGAAAUUUAACAAAUUUAAGUAAAAUACUACCGACCAAUUAAUAUUUAAGAACUAAUGUGUCGAGCGAGCUAGAUAAGUCUCACAGUUUGAGUACAUUUAGCUAAAAAUAAAAAAAAUGAUAAAAUUAUUAUGAAAUAUAUUUAUAUUUAUUUAGUAUUUAACUAGGGGAGAUUUUAUUUAUUUUUAUACAUUUAGCACGGUUAAAUUUUUUAUAUAUAAUAAGUUUUAUAGAAAUUUAAAAUGCAAAAUAAUUUAAUGUUGUUCAGGUGGGUGUCAUGACAAUAGAAGGUUAAAUAAAUAUGUUAUGUAAAUACGGUAAAUCUUUUUUUUUUAUUCAUCUAAUAAUAUUUGAACGUGAUAAGUUAAUUAUUGUGUUCAGCUAAAGCAUUUUGUUUUGACAAAAAAUUAGAAAAAUAUGGUUAUAUUAUAUAUCCAGUUUCAUUUUCUAUGGUUCAGCAUGACGUCUAUUUAAAUAGAACAAAAUUAUUUCUGCGCGUCAAAUUUAUUUAAAUUUUAAUUGUAAAAUAAAAUAUUUUAUCAAUGCUAAGGCGGUGUUUGAUUCGUCGGAAAAAUAUGAAAAAAAUAUCUCCGAAAAAAAAAAUCCAUGAAAAUCUCUUUUUUAAUUUUCUUAUUGUUUGGUUUUAAGAAAAGCUAGCAUUUUUUAAAUUUUAUUUUUCAAAUUUCAUGGAAAAUUGAUAUUUUUUCCACUUUGAAAUUUUUUUAGCAAAACAAAAAUAUUGGUAUUUAAUAAAAUUUGGAUUUUUUUUUAAAAAAAAGCUAGUUUUUUUAUAAUUAAACCGACAGAAAAUUAAAAAAGAGUUUUUUUUAUGAAAUAUUUUUUAUACUUUUUUAAGAAAUCAAAUAGCUCCGAAAAGUAAAAUAUAAAACAAAAAAUAUUCUCUUAUUGAGGAGUUUCGAAAAAAAAAAAAAAAAAAAAAAAAAAAAAUUCUUUAAACAAAAUAAAAAAAAAAUUAAAAAAAAAACUUCAAAUACCACCUUUGUUGUUUUGCGGUUUCUUAAUUUAAUAUUAUGUGAUUUUAAAUGUAUCACUUUCAUAUCCUGUGGUUAGGGGUGUCAACGAGCCGAACACGAGCCAGCUAGGGCUAGUUUGUGUUCAGCUCAUUUAACAAACGAGCCGAAAACGAACUGGUUUGUUAAAGUAUCGAUUCGAAAAAUUCAGCUCAUGCUUGGAUCGUUAAUAAACGAGUCGAACAUAACUUGGCUCACGAGCUAGCCAGCGAAUAAUAAGUUAACUUGAUUAGAUUGAAUAUAUAUAACAAAUAAAUUUAUAAAAUCUUACCCAUUAGAAUUUGGUCUAAUGGUUUGAAAUUUUACAUAUAAAUAAGUUUUUUAAUAAUUGAGCCCGACUUUUUUUUUGGCUAAAAAUCAAAUAAUAAGUAUAUAUAUAUUAUAUAUAUUAUAUAUAAUUAUUUAUUUAUAAAUAAAUAUAUGUAAAUAUAUAUAAAUAUGAAAUAUAUGUACUCAAGUUCUUAUCAAGCUGAACACGAACAACCUGACCCUAUCUCAUAUUCGGCUCGUUUAUUAAAUGAGCUGAAAAAUUCAGCUCGUUUUUAUUUUAUUUACUAAACGAAUAAUUCGAUCUCAAACUCAUUUCUAGUCAAACACUAGCUGGUUUACAGACAAUGAGUUGGAUUGUCACCCUACCUGUAGUUUUAUUUUUCUCUUUUUAUUAUCUCCUUUAUUAAUUUUUUUUUGUUAAAUUAUUGAUAAAAUUAAAACUAUAAAAUAAUAAAGUAAAAAUUCGAUAAAUUAUAGGGUAUUCAAUAAAUUAUGUGUAAAAUAUCUAAUUUAUUAUAUAUAUAAUUUAACAAAAAAUUAAUAUAGAUACUGACGGAAAAAAAAAAAAAAAAUAACAAAAAAUUAUUUUAUAUAUAUAUAAUAUAUAUAUAGUACCAAAGUGAUACAAUUUAAUCCUAAUGUACUAAAUCAGAAGUAAUUUUAAACUUAUCAAAAAAAAAAAAACGACAUCGGACACCAAAAAUGACUGACGAUGGUGGGUAAAAUACGGACGCAAUGGUGACACGUGUCCACCUACUCAUACCAACCGUCCGUCCAUCCCGCACAAUAUUAAACUACCCCUUCUCUCCUCUUUUAUUUUAAUUUUUUAUUUCUCGCUUGUCAUGUACUAUGCUACAGAGUUUUCUCGUGAGCACCACAACAAGGUCCUCAAUCUAUAUAUUUUAAGCGCACAGCAACAAAAUUGUGAAGCACCACCGCUGCUCGCAGCGAACAAAUGGAAUCGAGAAGGUUCCGGCAGGCGAUCGGCGUCGGCGUCACGGCGGCGCCGGACGCGAUACCGUCGAGUUCGUGCGGUCGGAGCACGACCGCCCGGCACGACACGUUCCGCGGCCGUCCCGGGAGAUACCGUGGUGACCUCUCGGAGCCCGAGCGCGCGCGGCGUGGUGGCGGCGAGCCAGGAGUGGGGAUCUUCCAGGUGGUGAAUCACGGGAUCCCCGCGCGCGAUCGAGACCAUGGCAGCGGUCGGGAGGAGUUUCUUCGAGCUGCCGCAGAGCCAGAAAGGAGCGGUACGGGAUGGAUCCGAAUUCGGGCCGUUCGAGGGUACGGAACAAGCUUCAGAAGGGAUCUGGAGGGGAGGAGGAAUUGGGUCGACUUCUUCUUCCACAUCUGUGUGCGCCGUCGUCGGUCACUAAGCAUCUGGCCGACCAAUCCCCGCCGAGUAUAGGUAGCGUACGUACGUCUUUACCCAACAAAAAAAAAAAAAAAAAAAAAAAAAAAACACUUCAAAUACUCCCACCGUGGUUUAAACUUUAAACUGUAUCAAAAUUGGUACCAUGUGGUUUCAGCACUUUCUCACUUUAGUAUCCUGUGUUUAAACUGUAUCAAUUUAGUAUUCUGUGGUUUCGCACUUUCUCACUUUAGUAUCCUGUGGUUUCAAGUGUACAAGCUUAGUAUCAUAUAGUUUCAUUUAUAUCAAGUUAGUACUAUAUGGUUUUUUUUUUAUUAUAUAUCAUAUUCGGGGCCUAUAAUUUAACGAAAUAUUGAACUAUAGGAUACUAAAGGUGAAAAUACGAAAUCACAUGAAAGAUAUUUGAAGUUUUCCAAAAAAUAUAUAUAUUAUAUUAUUAUGAAAGAGAAAUAGCAAUUUGAGCAGAUGAAGCUGAUAACAAUCGNNNNNNNNNNNNNNNNNNNNNNNNNNNNNNNNNNNNNNNNNNNNNNNNNNNNNNNNNNNNNNNNNNNNNNNNNNNNACCCAAAAAAAAAAAAAAAAAAAAAAAAAAAAAAAAACACUUCAAAUACUCCCACCGUGGUUUAAACUUUAAACUGUAUCAAAAUUGGUACCAUGUGGUUUCACACUUUCUCACUUUAGUAUCCUGUGUUUAAACUGUAUCAAGUUAGUAUUCUGUGGUUUCGCACUUUCUCACUUUAGUAUCCUGUGGUUUCAAGUGUAUCAAGUUAGUAUCAUAUAGUUUCAUUUUUAUAUCAAGUUAGUACUAUAUGGUUUUUUUUUUUUUAUUAUUAUUCAUUUCGGGGCCUAUAAUUUAACGAAAUAUUGAACUAUAGGAUACUAAAGUGAAAAAGUACGAAAUCACAUGAAAGAUAUUUGAAGUUUCUCCAAAAAAUAAUAAUUAUUAUUAUUAUUAUGAGAUGAAAUAGCAAUUUGAGCAGAUGAACUGAUUAACAAUCGGUAAUUAAAACUUUUAUAUUGAAAUGGAUCUUUAAGAUUCGAGUGCAUAGUAUGAAUUAUAUGACUGAUCAAACUGUCUCGGUGAGAUUUCGUUGAUACGCUUCUCCAUAGAAGAGAUAUACUCGCAAGAUAUUGAUGCAUCCCUAAAAUGAAAAUUGUCUCAAAUGGUUACCCAAGCUUCCGAUGCAUAAAUAUUGCUAAUGCUUUUAUUAUUCUACUAUAAUUAUUAGAAGUGAAAAGUUCCCUCAUUUGCAAUAGAACUAGUAAAAUACCCGCGCGAUGCUGCGGAUAUAAAAAUAUUUUUAUAAUAAAUUUUAGUUUUUUUAAUAUUUUUAUAUAGUUUUAUAAAUCUAAUUAUUAAUUAAAUAAAAGUUAUAUAAAAAUAAUUUAAUAGUUUAAUCUAUUUAAAUAAAAGUCAUUAAAAUUGGUAUAUGCGCAAAGUAAAUUUAUACAAUAGUUUAUUUUAUAAAAAAUUAUAUGAAAAGGAUUUGAGAUAAAUCUAUCAAAAUAAUUUUUAAAAAAUCAAUAAAUAGAAGGAAAAUAAAAUUGUAGAAGAUAUUGUUUAAUAAAACUAAUUAUAUAUACACACAUACACUAUAUUUUUAAAACUUUACUCCUGAAACUUAAAUUCCGUAUUUUUUUUAUACAAUGAAAUUUUGUGUGAUUUAAAUUUCAUCUAGCAAAUUAGAUUUUAUUAUGUGAUUUAUUAUGUGUAUUAUUAAUAAAAUUACUUAAUUAUAUUAUAUAAAACUAAUUAUUAAUAAAUUUAAUUAAUUAAUUAAUUUCAUAGAGUUUAGAGAUUUAAAAUUUUAAACUUUGAAGCUUAAAAUUUAGAAAUAAAUUUAUAGCUAGAAAAUAAAAUUUAAAAUUUAAAUAUAAAAUAUAAAAUAGAAAUUUAAAACUUUAAAAUUUGAAAUUAAAAAGCUUAAAAUUUAGAAAUAAAUAUUAUAAGUAAAAAUUUAAAAUUUAAAUAAAUAAAAUAUAAAAUUAAAAUUUAAAACUUUAAAAUUUGAAAGUAUCAAAAUUAUAUUUUGAUAUAAAAAAUUUAAAACUUUAUAUAUAUAUAUAUAAUAUCUAUUAUAUAGUAUUUAUAUAUUAUGAUGUAUAUUAAUGUUACUAUAGAGGGAGAGAGAAGGGGGGUUUGGGGGGACACGUGUCACCCUGUGGUCCCCCCAAACCCUCCUUUAAUGUAGUUAGAUAGAUAGAUGUUAGGCCUUACAAUAAAGUAUGUUAGUGGGACCUGCUAUUUAAUGGUUAGCUGCACUAUCACUCCGUUAUCCAUUUUUUCACGUUGGCCCCAAAUCUUUUAAUAUUUGCACUCAGGUUCUUGACAUUUAUUAUUUGUUUUAAUUAAGUCUGUGUCAUUAAAAACUUUAUUAACUAUGGAAAUUUCCAUUCAAUUUAAGGACGUUUUGUUCAAACAGAAAGGAAGGAUAUAUUAUAUUUUUAUUGAGCCUAAAGCUCGAGCUCCAACUCGAAAUUAAAACACACAUGGAUUAAUGUUUCAUUCGUUUAUUUUAAAAAAAAAUAAAUUUAGUUGAAAAUAUGAAUUAAUUAGAAUUCGAACUUAGGACCUCGUCGGAUACUAAUCAUCAAAUUCUUUGCCACUUGCGCUAGAACCAUCGCUAUCUAUCCUUUUCUUGUUCUUUUUCUUUUUCUUUUUCUUUUUUUUUUUGUUGGUUCUAUGAGCGAGUGAUGCGUCGGACCUGCUCACUCUAAACCGGCCAGCCUAAAGUACGAUCGGGCUAGAUUGUAGCAAUUGGACUCAAUCGAGGCCCAAUAAACUAGCCCAACUUAGUAUCUGAUCGGCCCACUACGAAAUUGUGGAAGUAUCCAAAACUUUUUCCCUCCAGCGGUAGACCAUAUCAUCAGUUGCUUGAGGCGCAAUUGAGAUGUUACAGGACUCAAAAUGCAUUUUUAUUUUACGAGUGGAUGAGAAUAGAAUCUGUAUUAAAAUGAUUAGCUCCUUAAUUGGACAGUAUGCUGUGCUCAAAAUUCUAUUAUUAACAAAUGGAAAUUAACAUUUUCAAAUUCACUAGUCUAAAGUUUCAAUUUGCAUUUGAUUCCAUUGAUGUUUUGUAUCCUCCUGAAUUUUACAUAAGGAAAGUAUUUUGUUCUGAUGAUGGUUAUUCACACCAAACAUCAUAAAUUGUUCAUCUUGAAUUGAACAAAACCUGCAGGAAGGCUAAUGAGGAAUACACCAAAUACUUGGUUAAGCUCAUGGACAAAAUAUUUGAGUACUUAUCAGUAGGGCUAGGUCUCGAGAAGCAUGUGUUGAAAGAGGCGUGUGGCGGCGAAGAGCUGAGGCUACUAGCGAAGAUCAACUAUUACCCGCCGUGCCCCCGUCCCGACCUAGCCCUCGGGGUGGCUCCGCACACCGACAUGUCGACGCUUACGCUGCUCGUACCCAACGACGUCCCUGGGCUGCAGGUCUUUAAGGACGAUCACUGGUUCGACGCCAAGUACGUCCCCGACGCCAUCAUCGUCCACAUCGGUGAUCAACUUGAGGUGAUAUCCUUUUCUUGGUCAUGCCUGUUCGGCACUACUUUUACUUUGUUCUUCUUUUUUUUUUUUCUACUUUUUCGUCCAACCAUAUAUAAAAGAAAAUUGUAAAAUUUAGAUCUUAAGUAAUGGAAAGUACAAGAGCGUGUUGCAUCGGACGACCGUGAACAAGGAAAAAGUGCGGAUAUCGUGGCCGGUAUUCUGCGAGCCCCCGGGAGAGCUCGCGAUCGGGCCGCUGCCUCAGCUCGUCGACAACGAGAAUCCGGGGAAAUACAAGACCAAGAAGUUCAAGGACUAUCAGUAUUGCAAGAUUAAUAAGCUCCCUCAGUAGAAAUAUUUGUAGUUUUAUAUACAUUAAAUGAUGCUAUCCAUGAACGUUUAGUUCAUUGAUGAAUGUUUAGCUAUACGUUGCACGUACGUGUUAAACAUCAACGGCUAGUUACUAUUUUAUACACAUAAAUGUUUACCGCCAAUAUUGUUGCACCACUUAUCAGUUUGAUAAUAGGUGAGGUAAGAGAUGGGAAUACGAAAGAAAAAGAGUUUAUAAUUAAUGUAUCUGAUAUUAAGUUAUUCACCAAAUUGAUCUAGUAUUAAAAAAUAAGGUCGAAAUAUAUAUUUAACCAAUAAGUCUAUUAAAAGCUGUUUCGUUUUUUAAUAAAUGAUGCUAUGUGCUAUAAGGACCGAUAAGAUAUUAUUAGUUUCAUGUUAAAUAAAUAUUAAAAUAAUCUCAGCAUGUAUAUAACUGGAGCUUUUUUGAGCUCCAAAUGUAAGCUCAUGUGGUUUGGCUUCUGAACAGUAAUAUGGUUCUAGUGAUCGCGAGAAAAUUUUCUCCCUUAUUCUAUAUUAAAAAAUUGCAAAUAAGUGCAGUAAUAAUUAACUUUUUACAAAAUAUUAUUGCAAUGUAACUCUUGAUUAAAACUUUCAUUAUAUUACAUUAUCAAUAAAAAUAUGGUGCAAUUGUUCCAAAUUGCUUUAAAAGAUGAGACCACAAUAAGCAGCAGCUUUUUAGUGAGUGGGAGAGUGCACUCCAAAACCUCUCCACAGAGUCAAGCUUUAAUCAAUCCAAUUAUAUUCUCUUUUGCAUCAUAAAUCUUGCAGUGAGUGCAACCCCACAAAAGGGAAUGAUUCAGUGAUUGGGAAGGGAUUUUGCAAAAAGCUGGUUUUAAAUAGUCCGAGGCCCCUGCAUAAUUGCAUAAAGCAUCUGGUAAUCUGGGAGGAGGAGAAAGUGCUUUUUGGGGAAGCAGAGAGAAAAAAAAAAAAAAAAAAAAAAAAGUGGGCGGAGGAAGAAUCCAACAAGGAAUUUUUUUUAUAAAUAAUUCUAUUAUAAUUAUAAAAAUAAUUUUUUUAAAAAAAUUAUUAUAAAAAUAGAUCUCUAAGUCCGGUGAAUAAUUCACCGCAUUCAUAACUCCUCAUUAGGAAUACAAAAAGAAUAAAAACUGUGAACCAUUCACCGUUUUUAUCAUCGUAAAAAUAUAGAAAAAAGUAAGAAAAAGAAAGAGAGUGGUGAAUGGUUCAUCGCUUUUAAAGCGGUGAAUGAUUCACCGCUUUUAUAAGAUCAUUUUAUAAAUAAAAAUUUAACUGGUCUAUUUUUAGAAUAAAAUUUUAGUAAAAGACUAUUGCACUAAAAAACCCUCCAACAAGUCCUAUAAAGAGAAUAAUUGUACAGUUGAUGGGAUUAUCAUGCAUCAUCAACUAAAAUGUUUGGUUUGAAAAGAUUUUAUGUACAAAGGCGAAAACUAAAUAGUGGGUGCACAUUUUUACAUUACUGUAAUUUUCUUACUGGUCGAGAGUAAACUUAUGUGAUAUUUUUCAAAAAUUAUAAGUAAAAAUAUUUUCUAUUUUAUAUUCGAAACUUACAACUUUGUAUUAAUUUCCAGCUGUUCGUUUUUUUAAAAAAAUAAAUAAAAUGAACAACAUGUUAUUGCUAUUUUUUUUCUUUCUAAAAAAAUAAUAUUAUAGACAACUCUCAAAGAUAUUCUUUUUAAUUUUGGUAAUUAAAAGCGUUAGGUCUUUAUAGUGUUUUGCUAAAAAGUACUGUAACUAACAAUAGCUAGAAAUAAAAAGCCAGUCAAAAAAUAAAUAAUAAAUUAUCCAUCAAAGUACAGUUGAUGGUUAAGUCAAUUAAAGUGAGCUUAUCUGGAACCUUCAUUUGGAGGAGGCUAAUUAAGAAAGAUAUCUAGGGAGAGAAUAAUAGGCAACAUGGUAUAUACACAGUACCCUCUACCUAAAAAUUAAGCACUCGUGUAUUUCCCUUUUCUUUUCUUUUCAGUUAUUAUUUAUAUUAUUACCAUAAUCUAAGAUGUGUUUGUUUAAUCAAAAAUAAAAUAAUAAUAAUUUUCGACUAUAAAACAUAUUUUUAUUGUUUGGUUUACUAUAACUUCACUGUCAAUCGAAACUCACACUAUUCAAAAUUACAUUAAUUUCGGCCCACUAUAAGCGAAAAUCAAUUACAAAAAUGAAUAAAAUUAUUGGCCCGUCUCUCACAUAUUCAGCUUUUUAUGUUAUUUAUAUUCUGCCAAAUAAAUAAUAAAACUGAAAAAACUUUAAUUUCACAACUAUACAAAUAAAUAAUAAAAAAAUUAAUUUUAAUCUAAAUGUUAUUUUAUUUAAAAAUUUAUUUUAGAAGAUCUUCGUUUUUUUUAAAAAAAAAAUAAACUUAGCUGAAAUAUCAAUCAAUUAGGAUUCGAACUUUACAUUUCUGUCUAAUUUUAAAUGCCAAAUUUGUCAUUUUCGGGGAGAGGGAGAGACACAGGGAACUGAGCGUGGGGCAUGGACUAGUCCUCUGCAUGAGGAAGGGAAUCUCUCAGAGCUAUCACGCUCUUUUUCCCCCCAAGAGGAACAUCUUCAGAUCCAGCAUCAUAGAAGAAGAUUAUACACUCUACGGAGAGAUUACGCUAUAUGUGAUAAGAUCAUAUGAGAUAAGACUGUCAACGAGCUGGACACGAGCGAGUUAGAGCUGGCUCGUGUUCGCUCGUUUAUAAAACCAGCCAAACACAAGCUAGUUCACUAAAAUAUCAAAUUAAAAAUUUAUUUAGCUCGUGUUCGAUUUAUUUAUAAUUAACAAGCCAUAUACGAGCUGUCUCAUGAAAAGUAAGUUAGAAUGUCAACCUUAUCUAGUAAAAGUUGAAAGAAAAUUUAAAAAUUAAAAUCUUAAUCUAACCAUUGAAAUUUACAAAAUGUAAGUCAUUUUAUAUUUAGAUUGAUCUAAAAUGCAAAUAUAUNNNNNNNNNNNNNNNNNNNNNNNNNNNNNNNNNNNNNNNNNNNNNNNNNNNNNNNNNNNNNNNNNNNNNNNNNNNNNNNNNNNNNNNNNNNNNNNNNNNNNNNNNNNNNNNNNNNNNNNNNNNNNNNNNNNNNNNNNNNNNNNNNNNNNNNNNNNNNNNNNNNNNNNNNNNNNNNNNNNNNNNNNNNNNNNNNNNNNNNNNNNNNNNNNNNNNNNNNNNNNNNNNNNNNNNNNNNNNNNNNNNNNNNNNNNNNNNNNNNNNNNNNNNNNNNNNNNNNNNNNNNNNNNNNNNNNNNNNNNNNNNNNNNNNNNNNNNNNNNNNNNNNNNNNNNNNNNNNNNNNNNNNNNNNNNNNNNNNNNNNNNNNNNNNNNNNNNNNNNNNNNNNNNNNNNNNNNNNNNNNNNNNNNNNNNNNNNNNNNNNNNNNNNNNNNNNNNNNNNNNNNNNNNNNNNNNNNNNNNNNNNNNNNNNNNNNNNNNNNNNNNNNNNNNNNNNNNNNNNNNNNNNNNNNNNNNNNNNNNNNNNNNNNNNNNNNNNNNNNNNNNNNNNNNNNNNNNNNNNNNNNNNNNNNNNNNNNNNNNNNNNNNNNNNAGAAGAUAUAUAUAAGUAUAAUAUUAUAUAUAUAUAUUAUAAUUAUAUUAUAUAUUAUAUAUUAUAUAUAUAUAUUUCAAUAGAGCUAUUAUGCUAUCGGAAGUAUAAAGUGGUUGGUACUUUCAAUUUUUUUAACUCUUAGAUCAACCCAUUGAUCAUUUCUAAUCAUUGGAUUAAUAUUAUUAACCAAUGGGGACCACUCAACCCUAGGGGGAAACACUCAACCCUAAGGGGACCGCUAUCAUCCUAAACGUAAAAUCUUUAAUCCAAGGACUAAAAAAUCAGAAGCACUAACUAUUUUAUGCUUCUGAUAGCAUAGUAGCGCACACACACACACACACACACACACACAUAUAUAUAUAUAUAGAGAGAGAGAGAGAGAGUGAGGCUACUAUGCUUCUGGAAGUACGAAGCGUUCCAUACUUCCAGGUCGUUUUUCAUGUUACGGCUUUCGAAUCGUCGAUCGGCUCUGUUAAACUUGAUCUAGAGUAUUUAAAGUACUUAGAAAAUAAAUUAUGUGAUUUUUCAAUAUUAUUUGCCUAGUGAACGAAGGGGCUCAAAAUCAACGACUGAAAAUAAAAAUCUUACAAAACGUGAUAAUAUGACAUUAAAAUUUUAAAUCAAAGAUAUUGAUCUUGUUUUAUAUAGUAUAAAGAAUUUUCUAUCAAAAUUUCACGUGAUUUGAAUAUUUCUACACUGUUAAACUUGCAAACGGCUCACUACAGUCAUUAAAGUUAUUAAUUUUGAGCCCCUUCGAUCACUAGGCAAAUCAUAUCGAAAAUUCAUAAAAUUUAUUUUCUAGGUACUUCAAAUACGUAAGAUUCCAAGUUUAUGGAGCACAAUCGAUGAUUUGAAAUACAAUAUUGAAAUGAUGAGAGCACGGAAGGCUUCUUUUGUGCUUCAAAAGAUAGUAGCCUCACUCUAUAUAUAUUAUAUUUAUAUAUUAUAUAUAGUCCGGCUACUUACUUCUUACGAGGUAUAACUUUUGUACUCAUAAGUUUUCGGCCGUUAGAUCUACUUCUUUGACCAUUUUCAUCGUUAGGAUAUACUAUUGCUCAACAACCACCACUCAAGCCCUAGGGGACCACUAUUAACCUAACGGGGAACAUCAUCCUAAUCGCACAUGUUUUUAUCUAACGCGUUGAAACUUAUGGAGUACAAAAGGUUCUAUAAUCUUAGUCUUUACUCAUAAGAGUUAGUAGCCUAACCUAAUAUUAUAUUAUAUAUAUAUAUUAUAUUAUAUAUAUAUAUAUAUAUUAUAUUAUAUAUAUGAUAUAUAUAUAUAUGAUGGGUGUGUGGUGUGUCGUGUGUGUGUGUGUGUGGUGUGUACUUAUUGGAAUAUAGGUAGCUGAAUACGAGCAAGUUGAUUUCAGAUUGUAUUUAGCAUAUUAAAAUUUUGAGCUAAAAAAUUCAAUUCAUUUUCAGCUCAUUUAUUAAAUAGAAGAUUGAUCUCGAAUUCAUUUCCAAAGAUUAAAAUCUAUAGUGAAAAAGUGGUUAUAAUUUCUACACCUCUUCAUCCACGCGUUCUAGAGUUUACUAACUUCAUUUUUGUUAUAAGUUUUUUAAUUUUUUAAAAAAGAUUGCUAAUACUCGUAUAGAGAGUUUUUUGAUAGGGGAAUUGGAAUUAAGAAGUUUUCUUACAAGAAAUCUCUAAAGUGAACCGGAAAAAAAAAAGCAACGAAAACGUCUCCUGCUUAAACACACCAAUUAGUUAAGCAUCACCACGGACAUUAUAUUUCUACUACAAUAAUUAGAUAGGAAUCAAACUACAAACUACAAACAAAAACAGAUUGAAUUUGAGUAGAACAAGAGAACCCACGCAUGCAUGCAUGCAUGCAUGCAAAAUCGCUUUUGAAUGAAGCGGAUCGAGGAGAGAACAAAUUCAACACUAACAAGUGGGUGGAGACGACGCAAUCGUAUCGAAACCGGCCGCUUCCUGGCGCGCCGCAGGAGAGCCGGGCUCGUCGCGGUGCAGCGCCGAGCCGCACUUCAGCGCGACCCCGAACAGCCUCAGCCGCCGCGCCGCGGGAGGAGUCGUCGGGGACGGCUCCUCGGCGACGGUCAACGAGCUGCUCGACGUCGCGCUCCCGGAGUUCACGGCAGCGAGCUCGGGCUCCCGGCUGCGGCGCAGCGGCGGCGGCCGCGGCGGCGGUGAUGCGGUGAAGCUCGGGGCUACGGGUUGGACGUGGUUCUGCACGAAGUAGAUGAUGUCGUUGUAGAGCCGCUUCAUGUGCGCCAGCUCCGACAGCAGAGCCGCGUUGCUGCGCCGCAGCCUCUCGUUCUCCGCCAUCAGCGUCGUCGCGGCGUCGGCGGAGCCGGUGCCUCCGCUAUCGCCUGCGGGGGAGGCGGGGAGGGAGAGGAGGCGAGGGGGAUGGUUGAUAUGAUUGUAACGACGAUCAUGAUGGUGAUGAUGAUGAUGAUGAUGGAGGUGGUGGUGGUGGUGGUGGUGGUCGAGGGUGGCGAAGAGGGGAGGGAAAUGGAGAGGGGAGGAAGGAGAAGAGGUGGAGGCGGAGGUGGUGGCCUUGCGGCGUUGGAUCUCGCAGAGGAGGUGCUUCUGGCCCUUCCGGAAGAACUCGUUCGCGAACUCCCACCUCUCCGGCACCACCUUACGAAAGCCCUGUUCGAUCAUCAAACAACAAAUUAUUAUUAUUUUUUCUUUUAUAAAUACCGUAUACAAUAAAUGAAUUACAAAAAGAGUGUUUAUUUGGAUGCGUUUUUGCACUAAAUAAUGCAUUUCCAAAUUAGGCCUAAGAAAAUCGUAACGAACGUAGGUGUUGAGCUGGCGCACGAAGGAGGAGAAGUUGUUGUGCUUGAAGUAGUUUGGGAGUAGGUCGCGGGCGAACUCGGGCGGCCGCCACACCACGAACGUGUGUGCACGGCCGCCGCCGCCGCCGUCGCCGUCGUCGUCCCCCCACGAGACGACGUGGUCGGUGGCGGGGUCGUCCACCAGCUGGUACGUCUUCGUCAGGAACGGCGCCGGCACCGGCUUCUGCGCCUCGCCGCCGCCGCCGCCACCACACCCCUCCCAACACCCCUCCAUUAUUAAUUUUGUUGAAAUUAAUUAAUUAUUGGACUCUAAUCCUAAGUGGCGACGAGAAUGGCAGAGAAGUGCGGAAAAUGUGAUGGGCGGGGGGGAGUGGAUUUUGGGGUUAGUGUGGGUGUAAUUUGUAGUUGGUUCGGGUGUUUUGGUUGUAAUCGUCAGCGCCUCGGGUGUCGUGCGGGAGUGGGAGAGCGAGAGUGGAGGGAGGGAAUAUGUGUCGGAGGGUUAGAGAAAGAGAGAGUGGGAGUCGGUUCGAGGUGAGCACGUGACCACAUUUUGCCUGCUGUUCUGGUUGGGUUUGGGGCUGUUUUGGAUCAGAAGAUUCGGAGAAUAAAUAAAUAACAAGUUCGAUUGUUUUUAUUUUUAUUUUUAAACAAAAUCUUGAAAAGUUUGAUUUGUGUAUAAUUUAUCAGUGAAAGUUCAAAUAAUUUUAUAAUUUUAGAGUCGAAAUCAUUUUUUUCGAUAAAAAAUUAUAAAAUUAUUAAAAUUUUGGACUGUUUUGAAUCAAUUAUCUGACAUUUUAAAAUUUAAAAUUUACUACCUAAUUUUUUAAUUUUUAUUAUAUAUUAUCUAUUUGAUGAUUCUCUCGGUACAAGCUUUAGGUCUAUUGCUUAUUUUAAUAAAAUUAUAAUUGUAUAAAUUAUAUAAAAUAUACUAAGUAGGUCCAUAAAUAUAAAAAAUAUAUUCAAAAUUUGAAUUUAAAAGUUACUAAAUAGUUCAAAUUAAAUAAACUAAAAUAUUAGAUAAAUAAAAUUUUUAAAGGUGAGCUAGUCGGAUUAGAAUUGCCCAUAUUUUGGGUUAAAAAUUAGUAAUAUGGAUAGUUUUUAUGUUUUUAAUAAAUUUGAAUGGCAUUUUUUAUAUUGAUAACUUUUGAAAAAUUUCUACAUAACUAGGGGAUGACAGAAGAGCACUUACGAAAUAAAAACACGAUUUUUUUUAAUUUAUUCGGACAACAAUAAAUCUACAAUCAAGAAAACAAUAUUGAAAAUUUUACCAAGAAAACCAGAAGUUAGUUUUGCCUCUAUCCAGGAGUUAAUCAUUGGGUGUUUUAAUACUAAAAUCCAAAAGAAAAAUUCAAAUCCUAGAAGGAAGUAUUAUAAUCCUUGAUUACAGUCAAAAGUAACACGUGGACGGCAGAUAGGUGGCUUCUUAAUGAGGUAACGUUAGAAAGCUCUCCGUUAAAGUUUUUUCUUUCCCAAAUUAGAUGGUACAUUUAUUUUUCUUUCAUAUUUAUUUGCAUUUUACAACAUUAAUUAGCUAAUUAAAUAUAUACUAGAAAAGUUACUCACGUAUUGCAGCAGAUUAAUACUAUAAAAGACAAAAAAUUGAUAAAGUAAAAAUUCUAAACUUUUUUGACUUGUCAUGAGACAUUAAUAAAUACAAAUAAUAUAAAUAAAAAAAAAACGGAAGAAGAGAUUUUAUUUUAUUUAUUUUUUCUUACGAAAGUGAUUUGUUUAGAUAACAAUAGAUCAUAAAAAUGCAUUAAUUAGAAAGUAGGAGGGUGGGAACCGACU
rnacentral:lncRNA from 1 species